CUUUGAUCGCUUGUGCCAGUGUUUGGGUGAAUAAAAGUGAGGCGAGCCAAAGGCGCCAACCUCCUCUGCCUACUAGAGGGACGAAAGCCAUGGGGAGUGAAGAGCCAAUGGGGAGAGAAGUACAUGGUAGAUGCUGGUACGAAUUUCCAGGAAGUGUAGGUGAGAAUUCAACACUGAAGCAGGCACAGUACCUGGUCAUCUUUAUUUCCAACACUUUCAUGGUAAAUGUCAAAAGGAAAUGCAGAACUUUGAUGAUGUAUUGAGAGGAGAUACAAACAAUUACAGUAAUUAAAUGACUGAAACUACGGUUGAAGGAGAUGGAGGAAGAAUGAAAUGGAAUAAAUUGGCUUAACACAGAUAUUACAGCAACCUGAUAAGUCCACAAAUAGUAAUAAUAGUUACAAUGUUUAUUAAGGUUAUGAAAAUACUCUGAAAGUGAGAUAACUUUUUUGUAGCAGAACAAACUUCAAACUUCCAAAAUAAUCUGGGAUAAUUUGUUUCUCUUCUUUAAAACGCUUCAUUCGUUUGUUUCUGUAUUCACUAAAGAUUUAUAAAAUAGCUGCUGUGUGCCAAGCAUUCAUACCAAUGGACAUUGAUACAGCAUGGAAUGAAAAGAAGUGAAGACCUCUCCGUCCUAACUGAGCCUGUGUUCAUGGCUAUGAGCUCGCUUGUUGCUGUUCAUUAUGGCAUGUAGAGUCUGUCUGGUUAAGAUAAAAAUAAAGUUGACCUGGG
rnacentral:lncRNA from 1 species